GGAGUUGAUCGGUAGGUAAGCAA
rnacentral:miRNA from 1 species